rnacentral:rRNA from 1 species
AACGAACGCUGGCGGCAUGCCUAACACAUGCAAGUCGAACGAGACCUUCGGGUCUAGUUGCGCACGGGUGCGUAACGCGUGGGAACCUGCCCUUAGGUUCGGAAUAACUCCCCGAAAGGGGUGCUAAUACCGGAUAAUGUCUUCGGACCAAAGAUUUAUCGCCUUUGGAUGGGCCCGCGUUGGAUUAGCUAGUUGGUAGGGUAAAAGCCUACCAAGGCGACGAUCCAUAGCUGGUCUGAGAGGAGGCUCAGCCACACUGGGACUGAGACACGGCCCAGACUCCUACGGGAGGCAGCAGUGGGGAAUAUUGGAAAACGGGCGAAAGCAUGAUCCAGCAAGGCCGCGUGAGUGAUGAAGGCGUUAGGGUUGUAAAGCUCUUUUACCCGGGAUGAUAAUGACAGUACCGGGAGAAUAAGCACCGGCUAACUCCGUG